AAAUUUAGAAUUUAUUUAUGAUAGAAAAUGUCAAUUGAAAGAUUCUUAGAGAAAGCUCUUUUU
rnacentral:tRNA from 1 species